rnacentral:rRNA from 1 species
UACGUAGGGUGCAAGCGUUAAUCGGAAUUACUGGGCGUAAAGCGUGCGCAGGCGGUUAUAUAAGACAGUUGUGAAAUCCCCGGGCUCAACCUGGGAACUGCAUCUGUGACUGUAUAGCUAGAGUACGGUAGAGGGGGAUGGAAUUCCGCGUGUAGCAGUGAAAUGCGUAGAUAUGCGGAGGAACACCGAUGGCGAAGGCGGCAUCCUGGACCGGCAUUGACGCUGAGUGAGCGAAAGCCAGGGGAGCAAACGGG